rnacentral:pre_miRNA from 1 species
CUUGGGCGGGGGGGUCCCUCAGCCUGGAUUGCAAGAGGGCACAGGCCAGGCUAAGGGACCCCACCGGUGCAUG